CCUACGGGUGGCAGCAGUGGGGAAUAUUGCACAAUGGGCGCAAGCCUGAUGCAGCCAUGCCGCGUGUGUGAAGAAGGCCUUCGGGUUGUAAAGCACUUUCAGCGGGGAGGAAGGCGGUGAGGUUAAUAACCUCAUCGAUUGACGUUACCCGCAGAAGAAGCACCGGCUAACUCCGUGCCAGCAGCCGCGGUAAUACGGAGGGUGCAAGCGUUAAUCGGAAUUACUGGGCGUAAAGCGCACGCAGGCGGUCUGUCAAGUCGGAUGUGAAAUCCCCGGGCUCAACCUGGGAACUGCAUUCGAAACUGGCAGGCUAGAGUCUUGUAGAGGGGGGUAGAAUUCCAGGUGUAGCGGUGAAAUGCGUAGAGAUCUGGAGGAGUACCGGUGGCGAAGGCGGCCCCCUGGACAAAGACUGACGCUCAGGUGCGAAAGCGUGGGGAGCAAACAGGAUUAGAUACCCGAGUAGUC
rnacentral:rRNA from 1 species